rnacentral:misc_RNA from 1 species
GGAUAACUGGACUAAGAAGUCAAAUAAAAUAUGUGAUGCCUAUGGAAUNCUAGACUACCAAACAGACUAUGUAAAGAGUCUUGCUGAAGAAGUNAAUUAUGGCUAUGANGUGGAUUGCUCUGAAUUGGUUCGAUAUCGAUUGGGGUAUGCAGCGG